GGUUAAGCGACUAAGCGUACACGGUGGAUGCCCUGGCAGUCAGAGGCGAUGAAGGACGUGCUAAUCUGCGAUAAGCGCCGGUAAGGUGAUAUGAACCGUUAUAACCGGCGAUUUCCGAAUGGGGAAACCCAGUGUGACUCGUCACACUAUCAUUAACUGAAUCCAUAGGUUAAUGAGGCGAACCGGGGGAACUGAAACAUCUAAGUACCCCGAGGAAAAGAAAUCAACCGAGAUUCCCCCAGUAGCGGCGAGCGAACGGGGAGGAGCCCAGAGCCUGAAUCAGCAUGUGUGUUAGUGGAAGCGUCUGGAAAGGCGCGCGAUACAGGGUGACAGCCCCGUACACAAAAGCGCAUGUGCUGUGAGCUCGAUGAGUAGGGCGGGACACGUGGUAUCCUGUCUGAAUAUGGGGGGACCAUCCUCCAAGGCUAAAUACUCCUGACUGACCGAUAGUGAACCAGUACCGUGAGGGAAAGGCGAAAAGAACCCCGGCGAGGGGAGUGAAAAAGAACCUGAAACCGUGUACGUACAAGCAGUGGGAGC
rnacentral:rRNA from 4 species